GUACAAAGGGAAGGGAGAGGUUUUGGGAAACCCUGCUUCAGCUGUGGGGCCACAGAAGGCAGGACUCAGGGAUGGUCUCCACCAUGGCCUGGUCCCCUCUCCUGCUCACCCUCCUGGCUCACUGCACAGGGUCCAGGUCUCAGGCUGUGGUGACUCAGGAGCCCUCCCUGACUAUGUCCCCAGGAUGGACAGUCACUCUCACCUGUGCCUUGAGCAGUGGAGCUGUCACCAGCAGUAAUUAUCCAUACUGGAUCCAGCAGAAGUCUGGCCAAGUCCCCGUGACACUGAUUUAUAAUACAAACAGUAAACUCUCCUGGACCCCUGCCCGGUUCUCAGGGUCCCUCCUCGGGGGCAAAGCUGCCCUGACCCUGUCAGGGGCCCAGCCUGAGGACGAGGCCGAGUACUACUGUGUUCUGUGGUACAGUGGCCAUCGCCACAGUGACACAUGCAGGGGGGAAGUGAGACACAAACCCAGGGCUCAGUGCACCCUCUGCUUCUGCCAUCCCCCGUCUACUGCUCGUAGAGGCUGGUCUCACAGGUGGGGACUCAGGAGGGUUGUUCUCUAUGGCCCCAGGGGGUGCAAUGGGAUCCACAUUUCUAAGCCAUGACAGGAUUUAACCCAC